UCGUCAACACACUGAUUUUCGUUUCUGGGCAGGUGGUCGCUUACCUCUGAGGUCAACUAACUCGGCCUGCUUAAGUUAUUCAAAAGUGUACUAAGAAAAAAUAAGAAUUGACUUUGGAAAACGAUUUUCUAUUUUUUAAGAUGUCAAUUAACGGACUACGAAAGAGUUCGCAGCAGCAAGUUGAUGGAGCGCGAAGUCGUACUCCAUUUGACCUUCUACAAGAGCAUAUGGAGGACAUACUAGGGACUGGAGGGGUCCUGAAGGAAGUGGUCCACCCCGGAGAUGGCCCCCUUGUGCCCACAAAUGCUUCAGUGUUAAUGCAUUACUCUGGUUUCUUGGAAUAUUCGGACCUGCCGUUUGAGACCACCACUCGCUCCAAGCAUGCCCAGUUUUUCAAGCUGGGCCGAGAUGUGACUCUGAUCGGAAUGGAGCUGGGCCUGCUGACCAUGCGCAAAGGCGAGUUCUCACGCUUCCUGCUGCAGCCGCAUUACGCCUACGGAGACCUGGGCUGCCCGCCAUUCAUCCCUGCCGCCUCCCGUGUUUUGUUCGAGAUCCAGCUAGUAGAAAUUCUAGACUCGGGAUUAGUGGACCAGUUUUUCCAAAUGACUGCUGAGGAGCAGAACGAGGUUCCCUUGUCCAAACUGCUGGAAGCGGUCAAGACACUGCGCACUUUGGCUAACCGAUGCUUCAAGCAGAAUCGCUAUGAUAAAGCCAAAGAGCACUACAAGAAAGCAUUGGAGUUGCUGGACAACAGAGUGAUGCACAACGACGUCGAACAUCAGGAGGUCCAGGCGGCGCUGUUGCCUCUUUUUCUCAAUCUGUCCUUCACUGCUCUGCGUCUGGAAAACCCGCAGAAAGCGCUCAAGUACGCCAAAAGCGCUCUGGAUGUGGACUCUACCAGCACUAAAGCGCUUUACCGCUGCGCGCAGUUAUCCACAUCAGGCAUACGCGGAGCUACGAGACUUCGAGAGCGCUCACUGUUGCCUCAUCAAGGCCCAGGCCAAGAGGCCGUUUGAUGAGGACCUCAAUAACCUUCUGAAGAGAGUCACCCUGUGCUGCAAAGACAAUUUGGACAAAGAAAAAGACUUCUGCGCCAAAAUGUUUCCAGGCUUUCAGAACAGUGAGUACGAUGAUCCGAACAAGUGAGGAACCGCCACGAAUCCCAGGUCCGACGUUCUUCUAAUAGCCGUUACCUUGUUAAGAUGUUUUGCAAUUUCUUUUGUCUCAAUCGGUUUCUCCACCUCAUUUGUUUUCUAUCAUGUUAAGUGUAUCACAUUGUUCCUUUAAUUAGGCCUGUGCACUCUUGACAAAGCAAUAAAUAACAGCAAUUACUUCUGUUGUAACCAGUUACCUUCUUAUGUCUUAUUUUUGUUACGCUAACUCUCGCAAUGACUCAGAGCACUUCCCAACCACUUAGUGGGCUCCUAAUGGCCGUGUAAAGAUGGAAGAGAGCGAUGAGUGGAAAGUUGAAAGGAAGGAGAGAGAA